rnacentral:rRNA from 1 species
CCCUUAGAGUUUGAUCCUGGCUCAGGACGAACGCUGGCGGCGUGCCUAAUACAUGCAAGUCGAACGAAACUUUCUUACACCGAAUGCUUGCGUUCACCGUAAGAAGUUGAGUGGCGGACGGGUGAGUAACACGUGGGUAACCUGCCUAAAAGAAGGGGAUAACACUUGGAAACAGGUGCUAAUACCGUAUAUCUCUAAGGAUCGCAUGAUCCUUAGAUGAAAGAUGGUUCUGCUAUCGCUUUUAGAUGGACCCGCGGCGUAUUAACUAGUUGGUGGGGUAACGGCCUACCAAGGUGAUGAUACGUAGCCGAACUGAGAGGUUGAUCGGCCACAUUGGGAAUGAGACACGGCCCAAACUCCUACGGGAGGCAGCAGUAGGGAAUCUUCCACAAUGGACGCAAGUCUGAUGGAGCAACGCCGCGUGAGUGAAGAAGGUCUUCGGAUCGUAAAACCCUGUUGUUAGAGAAGAACACGAGUGAGAG